CGAUCUGUAGCUGGUCUGAGAGGACGACCAGCCACACUGGGACUGAGACGCGGCCCAGACUCCUACGGGAGGCAGCAGUGGGGAAUUUUGGACAAUGGGCGCAAGCCUGAUCCAGCCAUGCCGCGUGCGGGAAGAAGGCCUUCGGGUUGUAAACCGCUUUUGUCAGGGAAGAAACGGCCUGCACUAAUACUGCGGGCUAAUGACGGUACCUGAAGAAUAAGCACCGGCUAACUACGUGCCAGCAGCCGCGGUAAUACGUAGGGUGCGAGCGUUAAUCGGAAUUACUGGGCGUAAAGCGUGCGCAGGCGGCUUUGCAAGACAGAUGUGAAAUCCCCGGGCUCAACCUGGGAACUGCAUUUGUGACUGCAUGGCUGGAGUGCGGCAGAGGGGGAUGGAAUUCCGCGUGUAGCAGUGAAAUGCGUAGAUAUGCGGAGGAACACCGAUGGCGAAGGCAAUCCCCUGGGCCUGCACUGACGCUCAUGCACGAAAGCGUGGGGAGCAAACAGGAUUAGAUACCCUGGUAGUCCACGCCCUAAACGAUGUCAACUGGUUGUUGGACGGCUUGCUGUUCAGUAACGAAGCUAACGCGUGAAGUUGACCGCCUGGGGAGUACGGCCGCAAGGUUG
rnacentral:rRNA from 1 species